rnacentral:rRNA from 1 species
AACGAACGCUGGCGGCAUGCCUAACACAUGCAAGUCGAACGAGACCUUCGGGUCUAGUGGCGCACGGGUGCGUAACGCGUGGGAACCUGCCCUUAGGUUCGGAAUAACUCCCCGAAAGGGGUGCUAAUACCGGAUAAUGUCUUCGGACCAAAGAUUUAUCGCCUUUGGAUGGGCCCGCGUUGGAUUCGCUAGUUGGUAGGGUAAAAGCCUACCAAGGCGACGAUCCAUAGCUGGUCUGAGAGGAUGAUCAGCCACACUGGGACUGAGACACGGCCCAGACUCCUACGGGAGGCAGCAGUGGAGAAUAUUGGACAAGGGGCGAAAGCCUGAUCCAGCAAUGCCGCGUGAGUGAUGAAGGCCUUAGGGUUGUAAAGCUCUUUUACCCGGGAUGAUAAUGACAGUACCGGGAGAAUAAGCUCCGGCUAACUCCGUG